CCUACGGGUGGCAGCAGUGGGGGAUAUUGCACAAUGGGGGGAACCCUGAUGCAGCGACGCCGCGUGGGUGAAGAAGUGCCUCGGCGUGUAAAGCCCUGUCAGCAGGGAAGAAAAUGACGGUACCUGAAGAAGAAGCCCCGGCUAACUACGUGCCAGCAGCCGCGGUAAUACGUAGGGGGCAAGCGUUAUCCGGAUUUACUGGGUGUAAAGGGGGCGCAGACGGCGGUGCAAGUCAGGAGUGAAAGGCGGGGGCGCAACCCCCGGACUGCUCUUGAAACUGUGUGGCUGGAGUGCAGGAGGGGUAGGUGGAAUUCCUAGUGUAGCGGUGACAGGCGUAGAUAUCAGGAGGAACACCAGUGGCGAAGGCGGCCUACUGGACUGCAACUGACGUUGAGGCCCGAAAGCGUGGGGAGCAAACAGGAUUAGAUACCCUUGUAGUC
rnacentral:rRNA from 1 species